UACGUAGGGGGCUAGCGUUGUUCGGAAUUACUGGGCGUAAAGCGCACGUAGGCGGGUCGUUUAAGUCAGGGGUGAAAUCCCAGAGCUCAACUCUGGAACUGCCUUUGAUACUGGCGACCUAGAGUUCGGAAGAGGUUAGUGGAAUUCCCAGUGUAGAGGUGAAAUUCGUAGAUAUUCGCAAGAACACCAGUGGCGAAGGCGGCUCACUGGCCCGUAACUGACGCUGAGGCACGAAAGCGUGGGGAGCAAACAGG
rnacentral:rRNA from 1 species